rnacentral:rRNA from 1 species
UUGUGGUUAAAAAGCUCGUAGUUGGAUCUCGGCGGACUGAGGGCGGUUUGCUUGCUAGUAUUACUGCCCUAUAGUCCGUAGUUUUGCCAGAGGUUUCGGGGUGCUCUUAAUCGAGUGUCCCGGGAUGCUGGCAGGUUUACUUUGAAAAAAUUAGAGUGCUCAAAGCAGGCUAUUACGCCUGAAUAUUCGUGCAUGGAAUAAUAGAAUAGGAAGUCGUUUCUAUUUUGUUGGUUUUCGGAAAUCGACUUAAUGAUUAAUAGGGACAGUCGGGGGCAUUUGUAUUCAAACGACAGAGGUGAAAUUCUUGGACCGUUUGAAGACAAACUACUGCGAAAGCAUUUGCCAAGAAUGUUUUCAUUAAUCAAGAACGAAAGUUAAAGGUUCGAAGGCGAUUAUAUACCGCCCUAGUUUUA